rnacentral:lncRNA from 10 species
GGCUAACCAAAGCUUUUUCCCGUUAUAUUUUCUGCAACAGCUACUAGGUUUUAGAGGGUGAGAUCCGAAUCCUGGAAUUGGAAUUGCUCAGAAUUCGAAUUCCGAGGCUCAAUUUCUUAAUUCGAAAAGUGGGGAUUGAUGAUUGCCACCUUCUUCAUUCAUGAGUUUAUUGGGAGGAUCAAGUGAGAUCCCGUUUGCCACAGUGCUUUGAAAAAGGAAAUCUUGACAGAAGUACCAAUAGCCAGUAUAAAUACAGAGAACAUUCACGUUCAACUGAUUACCGAGGAGAUGUAAAUUAAAAUAGCUGGCUGUAAUUUUCCAGCUGUACUUUCAGGUAAGAAUGGUGCUCCAUGAGUCAAGCG